rnacentral:tRNA from 1 species
ACCGAAAUAGCUCAGUUGGGACGUUAGGAGAGCGUUAGACUAUAGAUCGAAAAGUCCCUGGUUCGAUUCCGGGUUCCGGCA